UUUAUAAAGGGAAGAUGUCAGAUGUAGCAACACUAGUCUAUGCGCCUCGCUCUAGUUUUGUCUCUGGCACUCCUCUCGGCACGCAAGGACUGGAAUGCCGCCAUUAAUCAAUUAUCAAUACCUAGUUAAUAAAAAAAGUCUAGCAGCCUGGAGUUUCAUUCAACACGCCUAAUCAUUCAUCUAACAUGGUGUCAGAAGUCUAGAAGACCUCAUCGCCAAAAUACGAAAGGUACUGCGCCGAAAUCUUAAUUCUAUAUCGAAGUCGUGUCCAACAUGGCCGACGAAUCAAAGAACAAAGGAAA